UACGUAGGGUGCGAGCGUUAAUCGGAAUUACUGGGCGUAAAGCGUGCGCAGGCGGUUUUGUAAGACAGGCGUGAAAUCCCCGGGCUCAACCUGGGAAUGGCGCUUGUGACUGCAAAGCUGGAGUGCGGCAGGAGGGGGAUGGAAUUCCGCGGUGUAGCAGUGAAAUGCGUAGAUAUGCGGAGGAACACCGAUGGCGAAGGCAAUCCCC
rnacentral:rRNA from 1 species